CCCUUAGAUGUUCUGGGCCGCGCGCGUGCUACACUGAGUGGAUCAGCGGGUCAGGUUGCGCGAAAGUGUUUCCUAAUCUUUAAAUCCGCUCGUGAUGGGGAUUGACGGUUGCAAUUUUCCGUCAUGAACGAGGAAUACCUUGUAAGCGCGGGUCAUCAUCCCGCGCUGAAUACGUCCCUGCCCUUUGUACACACCGCCCGUCGCUCCUACCGAUUGAGUGGUCCGGUGAGGCUUUGGGAUCUGGGCGGAAAGAGCGUUUCGCUGUUUCUGCCCGGAAAACUCAGUCGAACCUUAUCAUUUAGAGGAAGGAGAAGUCGUAACA
rnacentral:rRNA from 1 species